AACACAACAAUUUAGGUCUUUGGUAAGUUUACUCACAGAGAUUAAAUUAAAGGCAAGAUUAGGUAAACUUAGCACAAAUGAUAGGGUAAUAGAAGGAGUAGGUUUAACAGUCCCAGAACCCUCAACAUUAUAGGUUGACCCAUCAGCUAUAAUAACAGGAGAAGGUGCUUUAUGAGAUCGAAAGCUAGUAAAAAUAUGAGGAUUACCUGU
rnacentral:lncRNA from 1 species